rnacentral:rRNA from 1 species
UACAGAGGGUGCAAACGUUGCUCGGAAUCACUGGGCGUAAAGGGCGUGUAGGCGGGAAGGAAAGUCAGAUGUGAAAUCCCCAGGCUCAACCUGGGAACUGCAUUUGAAACUCCCUUUCUUGAGUACCGGAGAGGAAAGUGGAAUUCCCGGUGUAGAGGUGAAAUUCGUAGAUAUCAGGAGGAACACCAGUGGCGAAGGCGGCUUUCUGGACGGUAACUGACGCUGAGACGCGAAAGCGUGGGGAGCAAAC